GAGGGGCUAGUUAAGUAAUAACCCUGGCUUGUCAGACCAGAAUCGCCGGUUAAACUCCGGCGCCACUCG
rnacentral:tRNA from 1 species